rnacentral:rRNA from 1 species
GGUUAGAAUCCAAUGCCCCGAAACCCUAAGGGUUCCUCCGGCAGGUUCGUCCGCGGAGGGUUAGUCAGGACCUAAGGCGAGGCCAAACGGCGUAGUCGAUGGACAACGGGUAAUUAAUCCCGUACUGAUGUUGAUUUGUGCAGAGGGACGGAGAAGGCAUGAGCCAGCCGGAUGUUGGUUACCGGUG